CUAGAGUAGUGACUUCCUGUAGGAAGUUGGAUUCUUCCUGUCUGGAAGAGUGGAGGAAAGGCAGGUUUGUUGGAGCUCCUCUACCUCAACCUGACUGUGGAAACCCCCCUAAAUCAUCUUUUGAGAUGCCUGGGAAAAGGAGAAUAUCUCUCACCUUUGGACCAAAUCUCUAGCCCCAAGAGGAGGAUACUUCUCUUGGCACAGGUGGCAGGGGGAUCAGGGGAGGCCUUCUUUGAAACAAAGAUUAAGAAGAAAGAAGUUAUUCAAAACCAUCAAAUACAGUGAUAAUUUGAUGAUGCACACCCAUAUAAACUCACAUAUGUUUAAGGAAAUGGCAAGAGUGUGUUUUCUCAUUUCUUCUCCAGGACAAUAUUGGUCAAUAUAAUUGUACAAUAUUCCUAUUCAUUUUAUUAUUUCCCCCAAUUUACAUUAUGAUAGUCAUUAUGUUCUGUAUGUUGCUUUCAUUGUCAUGACUAUUUUAUUAUACAUUAUUUUUAUACCUUACCAUGUCUCUCUGAAUUCCUUAUAUUUAUCAUUUCUUAUGGGGCAAUAAUAUUACAUUAUGUUCAUGUAUCACAGUGCAUUGAUUUUAUUUGUGUAAAUGCUUUUGCAUUUUAUUAGAGUCAGAUUUAAGAGGCAAAAUGGCAAGAAAACCUUGAAAGUAUAAUACUAUAAUAAAAUGUUUCCCUACAGAAGAUAUCA
ensembl:lncRNA